ACGCUGGCGGCACGCCUAACACAUGCAAGUCGAACGAAGUAGCAAUACUUAGUGGCAGACGGGUGAGUAACAUGUAGGUAUCUGCCCUUUGGCCUGGAAUAACACGAGGAAACUUGUGCUAAUACCGGAUAAGUCUUUACGGAGAAAGCUUUAUGCACCAUUGGAUGAGCCUGCACUUGAUUAGUUUGUUGGUGGGGUAAUGGCCUACCAAGACUGUGAUCAAUAGCUGAUUUGAGAGGAUGAUCAGCCACAUUGGGACUGAGACACGGCCCAAACUCCUACGGGAGGCAGCAGUGGGGAAUCUUGCACAAUGGAGGAAACUCUGAUGCAGCGAUGCCGCGUGAGUGAAGAAGGCCUUUGGGUUGUAAAGCUCUUUCGUCGGGGAAGAAAAUGACUGUACCCGAAUAAGAAGGUCCGGCUAACUUCGUGCCAGCAGCCGCGGUAAUACGAAGGGACCUAGCGUAGUUCGGAAUUACUGGGCUUAAAGAGUUCGUAGGUGGUUGAAAAAGUUGGUGGUGAAAUCCCAGAGCUUAACUCUGGAACUGCCAUCAAAACUUUUCAGCUAGAGUAUGAUAGAGGAAAGCAGAAUUUCUAGUGUAGAGGUGAAAUUCGUAGAUAUUAGAAAGAAUACCAAUUGCGAAGGCAGCUUUCUGGAUCAUUACUGACACUGAGGAACGAAAGCAUGGGUAGCGAAGAGGAUUAGAUACCCUCGUAGUCCAUGCCGUAAACGAUGUGUGUUAGACGUUGGAAAUUUAUUUUCAGUGUCGCAGCGAAAGCGAUAAACACACCGCCUGGGGAGUACGACCGCAAGGUUAAAACUCAAAUGAAUUGACGGGGACCCGCACAAGUAGUGGAGCAUGUGGUUUAAUUCGAAGAUACGCGCAGAACCUUACCAACACUUGACAUGUUCGUCGCGACUCUAAGAGAUUAGAGUUUUCGGUUCGGCCGGACGAAACACAGGUGCUGCAUGGCUGUCGUCAGCUCGUGUCGUGAGAUGUUGGGUUAAGUCCCGCAACGAGCGCAACCCUCACUUUUAGUUGCCAUCAUUAGGUUGGGCACUCUGAAAGAACUGCCAGUGAUAAGCUGGAGGAAGGUGGGGAUGACGUCAAGUCCUCAUGGCCCUUACGUGUUGGGCUACACACGUGCUACAAUGGUAUCUACAACAGGAAGCAAAACCGCGAGGUUAAGCAAAUCCUUAAAAGAUACCUCAGUUCGGAUUGCACUCUGCAACUCGAGUGCAUGAAGCUGGAAUUACUAGUAAUCGUGGAUCAGCGUGCCACGGUGAAUGCGUUCCCGGGUCUUGUACACACCGCCCGUCACACCAUGGGAGUUGGUUCUACCUUAAGGCAAGGUUUUAAACCCUUGACCACGGUAUAGUCAGCGACUGGGGU
rnacentral:rRNA from 1 species